rnacentral:lncRNA from 1 species
UGGAGAAAGGUACACUUAAAGAACAUCUAUACGGCUCGAAUCUACCUCCCUUGUCAUGGAAACAAAGACUAGAGAUCUGCAUUGGAGCAGCUAGAGGUUUACAUUAUCUCCACAGUUGCGCAGAAGGAGUAAUCAUACACAGAGACGUCAAAUCCACAAACAUACUACUAGACGAGAACACUAUAGCCAAAGUCGCCGAUUUCGGACUCUCGAAACUCACGAUUCGUAAUCAAGAUCCAACUAAUAUCAGCCUAAACAUCAAAGGAACAUUCGGUUACUUAGAUCCAGAGUAUCUCCAAACACAUAUCUUAACAGAGAAAUCUGACGUUUACGCAUUCGGAGUCGUCCUCCUCGAGGUUUUGUUAGCGAGACCAGCUCUAGAUUGUACUCUACGUUACGAAGAAGCGAAUCUAGCGGAAUGGGCGUUGUUCUGCAAAUCAGAAGGUAAAAUCGAUGAGAUCUUAGAUCCGAGUUUGAUAGGUCAAAUUGAGACGAAUUCUUUGAAGAAAUUCAUGGAGAUUGCUGAGAAAUGUUUGAAAGAGUGUGGAGAUGAGAGACCGAGUAUGGGAGAUGUGAUUUGGGAUCUUGAGUAUGUUCUUCAGCUUCAGAUGAUGACGAUUCGUAGAGAAGCUCAUGAAGAAGAUAGUACGGCGAUUG